rnacentral:tmRNA from 1 species
ACGACUCUACGUUCGCACUCGCCGCUUAAUUGCGGAUGAGCUUCUCAACGGCAGGCCGAUGGGCCGGGCUAAGUUCCGCAAGGGACAAGGCUGAGAAGUCACUCACAUCGGCUGGCGUCCGACCGGGUCACUCGGUGGGGCGUGAGAUCAAGUGACUGGCGGGAAAGCUAGCGUGCCACUGCGCGAGUUGACUGCGAGAUUCAAAUCAGCCGGCUAAACAUGUAGAUCUGCCCGGUGAUGGCUGACGGACGGGGGUUCAAUUCCCCCCGGCUCCACCA